GAUGAACGCUGGCGGCGUGCCUAAUACAUGCAAGUCGAGCGAACAGACGAGGAGCUUGCUCCUCUGACGUUAGCGGCGGACGGGUGAGUAACACGUGGAUAACCUACCUAUAAGACUGGGAUAACUUCGGGAAACCGGAGCUAAUACCGGAUAAUAUAUUGAACCGCAUGGUUCAAUAGUGAAAGACGGUUUUGCUGUCACUAAUAGAUGGAUCCGCGCCGCAUUAGCUAGUUGGUAAGGUAACGGCUACCCAAGGCAACGAUGCGUAGCCGACCUGAGAGGGUGAUCGGCCACACUGGAACUGAGACACGGUCCAGACUCCUACGGGAGGCAGCAGUAGGGAAUCUUCCGCAAUGGGCGAAAGCCUGACGGAGCAACGCCGCGUGAGUGAUGAAGGUCUUCGGAUCGUAAAACUCUGUUAUUAGGGAAGAACAAAUGUGUAAGUAACUAUGCACGUCUUGACGGUACCUAAUCAGAAAGCCACGGCUAACUACGUG
rnacentral:rRNA from 1 species